AUACGUAGGUGGCAAGCGUUGUCCGGAAUUACUGGGUGUAAAGGGCGUGUAGGCGGGGAUGCAAGUCAGAUGUGAAAUUCCGGGGCUCAACCCCGGCACUGCAUCUGAAACUGUGUCUCUUGAGUGCUGGAGAGGAAAGCGGAAUUCCUCGUGUAGCGGUGAAAUGCGUAGAUAUUAGGAGGAACACCAGUGGCGAAGGCGGCUUUCUGGACAGUAACUGACGCUGAGGCGCGAAAGCGUGGGCAGCGAACAGGAUUAGAUACCCUGGUAGUCCACGCUGUAAACGAUGAAUGCUAGGUGUAGGGGGUAUCGACCCCUCCUGUGCCGGAGUAAACACAAUAAGCAUUCCGCCUGGGGAGUACGGCCGCAAGGUUGAAACUCAAAGGAAUUGACGGGG
rnacentral:rRNA from 1 species